rnacentral:lncRNA from 1 species
GGGAAGAGGUCAAAGAGCUCCGGGUUUGACCGAGUUUGUCGCCGGUUGAGUCACGGCCACGGCACCGCUCCCCCCACUCGCUCACUCACUCAGGUGAACGUAUUUUUUUUUCUUUUCUUUUUUCAAAUGUAGUAAUGUGUGGUCCCACUUUUUGUACUUCCCGACCAAUACUAAAAAAACCUUAAUUAAUUCUACAGACAACUCAACACAACAGGUUAAUAAAUGGAGUUUUUUAAUUGUUCACAGUAUAGGGGGUAAAAAGAAA